ensembl:snoRNA
AUGCUACCUUUGAGGCCCCUCCAGUGCCUCUUCAUGGAGCCAGGGCUUAAGCUGCAGUGCCAUAUCACUUUGCUCGCCCAUAGCUGGGGCUGCCUGCCCAUCGUGGGUGGCCCUUUUAACCGCCAGCUAUGGGG